ACAUAGCCACAAGUUAACAUUUGUGGUCUAACCUGCCCAAUGUGCAAUUAAAAAGAUGAAUGGCCGCGGUACCCUGACCGUGCUAAGGUAGCGUAAUCAGUUGGCUUUUAAAUGGAGUCAGGAAUGAAUGGAAUAACCGGGUUUAGCUGUCUCCUUUCUAAUUAGUUGAAUUUACUGUUCAAGUGAAAAAGCUUGAAUAAAGAAAAGGGACGAGAAGACCCUUAGAAUUUUUUUUAGUGGGAAAUUUUUUUCCUAAUAAUUUUGUUGGGGCGACAUGGAAAUAUUUAAAAACUUUCCUUUUAUACUUGCCGAUUUUGUUAAGUUAGAAUAAAUUACCUGAGGGAUAACAGCAUAAUUCUAUAGAUGAGUUUGUGACCUCGAUGUUGGACUAGGGAACUAGCAAGCUAGCCGUUUGCUGUGUGGGUUCUGUUCGAACUGUAAUCCCUACGUGA
rnacentral:rRNA from 1 species